AUGGAUGAAGAAGGGGAAAUUAGUAGCAGCAUCACCAUUGAUUGCCCCCCUCGUAGAAUUAUAUGUUGGUGUGAGCUCAGUUUGAUUUCGCCUGGUUUUGAUGUCUCUGCUGUGUGUGUGUGUGCAGGUGCUAAAGGCGUCCGAUCCAACUCAGGUGGAGGCCAAGGAGGUUCGGCUCUCGGACAUUGCACAAUAACGCUGGAUGAUACCGAUGUGCAGACUGUAAGUGUCAUAUAUUCAGAUUGGGGCCUUUCUUCCUGUUAUUUUGCGUCAAAGCUGAAAAAGAGUGAUGCUAAUUCGCUAAAGGUCGAUGUGGUCAUGAUGCAUACCAUGGUUCUCUGA
rnacentral:rRNA from 1 species